rfam:Gregarina niphandrodes unplaced genomic scaffold scaffold00245, whole genome shotgun sequence.
GGCGAUGUGCCCAAUGGAUAUGGCAUCGGUCUACGGAACCGGGAAUCCUGGGUUCAAGUCACAGCGUUGUCU